AGUGGCGGACGGGUGAGUAACGCGUGGGUAACCUGCCUCAUACAGGGGGAUAACAGUUAGAAAUGACUGCUAAUACCGCAUAAGACCACAGCACCGCAUGGUGCGAAGGGGUAAAAACUCCGGUGGUAUGAGAUGACCCGCGUCUGAUUAGGUAGUUGGUGGGGUAACGGCCUACCAAGCCGACGAUCAGUAGCCGACCUGAGAGGGUGACCGGCCACAUUGGGACUGAGACACGGCCCAA
rnacentral:rRNA from 1 species